GAUGAACGCUGGCGGCGUGCCUAAUACAUGCAAGUCGAGCGAACAGACGAGGAGCUUGCUCCUCUGACGUUAGCGGCGGACGGGUGAGUAACACGUGGAUAACCUACCUAUAAGACUGGGAUAACUUCGGGAAACCGGAGCUAAUACCGGAUAAUAUAUUGAACCGCAUGGUUCAAUAGUGAAAGACGGUUUUGCUGUCACUUAUAGAUGGAUCCGCGCCGCAUUAGCUAGUUGGUAAGGUAACGGCUUACCAAGGCAACGAUGCGUAGCCGACCUGCGGGCGUGAUCGACCACACGGGAGCUGGAACCGCGCCCAGAGUACUACGGGAUGGAGCAGUAUGGAAUGUUAGGAAAUGGUCGGAGUCAUAACGGAGCAGGCUGUAGUGAGUGAAGAAAAUCUUCGGAGCGUAAAGCCCGCUUAUUAGGGGUAAACAAAUUGGGAAGGAACUCUACACAGCGUGACGGUACCGGGUAAAAAAGCCACGGCUAACUACGUG
rnacentral:rRNA from 1 species